rnacentral:lncRNA from 1 species
GGCGGGAAAAGAUCUUAACCCGUGAUUGCUGGGACUGGCUCAAGCUCCACCAGGAGCCGUCGUUCUUUUACAAAGAGGGGUGGAGGUUCCAGUGGAGGCUGUUGUUGCCUUUUUUUUUUUUUUUUUAAUGAAUGGAGGGCGGCGGCGACUGCUGCAGCUGGGCCAGCUGCGCGGGCUGCACCCCCUCCCAGCCUGCGAGAGGAGGAAGCUAGUAGAAGAUUUGUACCAACAAAACCAAGGAGUAAACAACUUGAGAAUAACUGCAUGAGCUCAGGGCUUGGACUGUCAGAUUCCAUUUCUAAGCUUCCAGAAGAGCGACACAUAGACACUGGGGAAGUCAGAGCCUUUGAACUCCAAUGCCAUCCCCGUCACCCACCUCCACCACCAGCACCACCACCGAAUGGCACUUUGGACAAUUUUUCCCUCUCAUGUGACUUUUGUCAUUUCUUACGUCAGUUGGAGCCAGCACCUCUCAAAUCCAUCUUCUAAAACCCAGAAAAUUGUGUGUAACACAUGAUGACUGAAAGGGAGUAGGCUGACCAGUUAAGAGCCUGCCACUGGAAUGGAAGGCUGUGGGAAGGUGAGGGGACGGUGGACAUCAACCGGGAAGAGCUGAAAGAUGGCGUUACCAGAACAACUUCCAGUAAAAGAAGGCACUGAGGUUUAAGUGCUACGUGGGAGCAGUUGCCGAUUUUUGCAAUGGGAGGCUGCAUAGAUUCAAGGUGGAACCAUCUAGUUGCAGGAAAACAAGCUCAGGGCUCCUGUUGAUUCUAUAUUAUGUGUGAGAAUUCGAAGAGAUUCAAAGACUAUAUCACCACCAUGGUCUUGCCAGAAUCUGCCCUCUGAGUCAUUUCUUAAUCUACUGAUUAUCUGUAGAACCAGCCUUAUAUAAACAAGGAAGCAUCUAGCAG